CUAUGCGCCUUGCCAGCCCGCUCAGGUGUGCCAGCCGCCGCGGUAAUACGUAGGUGGCAAGCGUUAUCCGGAUUUACCGGGUGUAAAGGGCGUGUAGGCGGGAAAGCAAGUCAGAUGUGAAAACCAUGGGCUCAACCUGUGGCCUGCAUUUGAAACUGUAUUUCUUGAGUGCUGGAGAGGCAAUCGGAAUUCCGUGUGUAGCGGUGAAAUGCGUAGAUAUACGGAGGAACACCAGUGGCGAAGGCGGAUUGCUGGACAGUAACUGACGCUGAGGCGCGAAAGCGUGGGGAGCAAACAGG
rnacentral:rRNA from 1 species